UACGAAGGGGGCUAGCGUUGCUCGGAAUUACUGGGCGUAAAGGGCGCGUAGGCGGCACGGACAGUCAGGCGUGAAAUUCCUGGGCUUAACCUGGGGGCUGCGCUUGAUACGUUCGAGCUAGAGGAUGGAAGAGGCUCGUGGAAUUCCCAGUGUAGAGGUGAAAUUCGUAGAUAGUUGGGAAGAACACCGGUGGCGAAGGCGGCGAGCUGGUCCAUUACUGACGCUGAGGCGCGACAGCGUGGGGAGCAAACAGG
rnacentral:rRNA from 1 species